rnacentral:rRNA from 1 species
GAUGAACGCUAGCGACAGGCUUAACACAUGCAAGUCGAGGGGCAGCAUAAAAGUAGCAAUACUUUGGUGGCGACCGGCGCACGGGUGAGUAACGCGUAUGCAACCUACCUAUCAGAGGGGAAUAACCCGGCGAAAGUCGGACUAAUACCGCAUAAAACAGGGGCACCGCAUGGUGAUAUUUGUUAAAGAGAUUCGCUGAUAGAUGGGCAUGCGUUCCAUUAGGUAGUUGGUGAGGUAACGGCUCACCAAGCCGACGAUGGAUAGGGGAACUGAGAGGUUGGUCCCCCACACUGGUACUGAGACACGGACCAGACUCCUACGGGAGGCAGCAGUGAGGAAUAUUGGUCAAUGGGCGGGAGCCUGAACCAGCCAAGUCGCGUGAAGGGAGAAGGAUCUAUGGUUCGUAAACUUCUUUUGCAGGGGAAUAAAGUGCAGGACGUGUCCUGUUUUGUAUGUACCCUGAGAAUAAGGAUCGGCUAACUCCGUGCCAGCCGCCGCGGUAAUAC